UCUUAAUGUGGCUCAUGCGGUAAGGAGCGACCGAAAUGGGCUGGGUGCCUAGAUGUAAGUCUAUAGUGAACUCGACUUUUCUGUCCAUUGGCAGUCCGGGUAGUUCAUCUAAAAAUACAUCUGAAAAGUCUCGGACUACUGGAAUCUCUUGGAUACAAAUUUCCUUCUUGGGCUUGCCCUGUACCACGUCCGGGUCGGCGUCGGCAUCCUGCUGAGUAAGGUUGUAAACCCUGCCCUGAAAAUGAGGUCUUCCUUGGUUCUGGUUCCUCGGGCACUCUCUCGUAUAGUGCUAGGAACUGCCACAUAUACGACAGGUGUUGUUGAUGCGGUAGCAUGGUCGGUCCCCGUGAUCCCUACCACAGUGCUGGCAGAUCUUUCCACGUGCUGUCCCUAGAGCCUGAGGAGGGGUCUGGAUCACUGGUCUGGGCCUCUUAUUUGGUUGGAUUGGCGCAGUGGGUGCUGGUCUGCGGGGUGGAGCUGAGGGUCGGUGACUCCCUGGUGACUGAGGACGGGUGUUGAAACUCCUCUCCACAAUCUGUGCCUUUACUAGAACGGCUGAGUAUGUCUUGAGCUCCAGUACCAAUAAGUGUUGCUUGAUUUCUGGGCGGAGGCCCCACUAGAAUCUCCUGGCCUUCCUGCCUUCAUCCAUCAAUGUCUCCGGGGAGUAUCGGCCCAGCUCUAGGAACUUACUAGCAUAUUCUGAUACUGUCAUGUUUCCCUGAACCAGCUGAACAAACUCCAUCUCCUUCAGGUGUCGGAUGUGCUCAGGGAGAUGCUUCGCAUGGAAGGCCGCUAGGAACUGCUCCCAAGUG
rnacentral:lncRNA from 1 species